rnacentral:rRNA from 1 species
UAGAUACCCUGGUAGUCCACGCAGUAAACGAUGAUUACUCGGAGUAUGCGAUAUAUGGUAUGCUCCCAAGGGAAACCGAUAAGUAAUCCACCUGGGGAGUACGCCGGCAACGGUGAAACUCAAAGGAAUUGACGGGGGCCCGCACAAGCGGAGGAACAUGUGGUUUAAUUCGAUGAUACGCGAGGAACCUUACCCGGGAUUGAAAUGUACAUGACGGUUGGGCGAGAGCCUGACUUCCCUUCGGGGCAUG